GUCAAGAGAUCAUAGUGAACCAGCAAGCUGUGGGCCUACACCACGAGAAAGGCCAUCCAAUCUCCAGAGAAUUUGGUAAGAAUUGGCAGUGGCCCGAACAUUGAUACCAUGAUUUCUUCAGGGGCAUUCAGGUAAGAAAUGGUAUAGAUCCCUUGCCCAUAUAGAAACCAUGUAUUUUCAUUUUCUAUGUUUUAAAGACAAUUUUUGUUUAUCUCUUGAGUGUUAGAGUAGUAUCAUAGCUAGGCAAUUAAGAUGAUGUUUCCUACCACAGUAGUGACCAUGGGAAUUUUGUCAGUGUCCUGUUAGGAAAUGUCUCACCUGACUGUGAUCUUGACCUUGGAGUAUACAAAGAUUCUGGUAUAGUUAAUGUUUUUCAAUGAUGAAAAUGAUAAAGACUUUUAGGAGAUGUCCUGGUAGAACAAGUUGUAUUCUUUUAUACAUAUAUCAUGUGUUUUUCAGGUUCAUGUGCUAAGCUCAUGAUGAACCUAAUGGUUAUUAACAGGUGACAGUUCUGGUAUCCAGGUAAGAGAUGGUACACACCUUCAUCACAUCACAGACCAGCCAGUCGUCACAUACUGACAUAAGUGAUGUUCAUUCUUGUUUGACCAUGGGCUUUUCUUUUUCUUUUUGCUAGAUUUUCAGGUAAGAAAUGAUCAUGUUUGACCAGUUGUAGAAACCAUGUUAUCCUACUGCUUUAUAUUUUAGAAAAAAAAAGUUGUUUAACCAUGUGAGUAUUGAGCAGUUUGCAAAUAUCUAUGUAAUUACUGUUAGUAGUGUGGUUUGGGUUUAUUUUUGUUGUUUUUGUGUGUGUGUGUGUGUGUUUGCUUUCUUACAGGUGAACAUUCAAGAGGUGAUGGCAUUUCUGACAGCGAGGUAGGCCUGUCUGUGAUUCUAGGUAGAUUUAAUGAGUCAUGGGAUGCCUGGAUGGUUGAGUCAUUUAAGCGUCUACUUUUGCCUUCAGGUCAUGAUCCCAGGGUCCUGGGAUCGAGCCCCACAUCGGCUCCUUGCUCAAUGGGGAGCCUGCUUCUCCUUCUGCCUGCCACUCCCUCUGCUUGUGCUCGUGCACGUGCUCUCUCUCUGACAAAUAAAUAAAAUCUUAAAAAAAAAAAAAUUCAGAGAGUCCUGCAGUGAUGCUAGUGACAAGGUUAUUAUCAGGGUCCAGGUAAUAAAGGUGUGUCAUAGCACAUCUACCGAAAUGUGUUCUUCAGGUUACUGGUAAGAUACCAUGGUAAUCCUCAUAAUGAUCGUUAAAGGGAUUUUGUUUGAAUCCAGGUAAGUGAUGAUGAUAGCCUUUUCCAUGCUCUAGACCAUCUAAUAUUUGGAUAGCUGAGUAAGUAUGGAUGGUAUUCCUAACCUUGUAUUGCUGGGUUUUUUUGCAGGUAUUCAGGUAAGAAAUGCUAUUGUCAAUCGAUGCUAGUAAGCAUUAGCCCUUAUUGUAAAGUUUAGAUAUAAUGUUUGUAUAACAUCAGUGAUAAUCAGAGAUUACAUAAGUGUCCAGGUAAGUUAGCAUUUUGCUCAUAUCCUCAUUCUUGAGCUGGCUUCUUACAGUUAUCUUGUCAAGACAGUGUUGUGUCUCUAACUGGGGGGUUGACCUUGUACUUCCGCAAGUUUCUAGGUAGAUUUGAUAGACCUCAUGAAUUUGAUGGGAUUUUUCAGAUGUUCAGAUAAUACAUGUAUUCCUAACGCAGUUUUUACCAUGAAAUUUUAUAGAAAUACACUCAAAAGAUGAUGGAAGGCCUUCAAGAAAAUAUACCAGGAAAAUCCCAGAUUAAAUACUAUGGUCGUGAUGAGCACCGGGUGAUGUACCCACUCAGGAGGAUAAAAGUGUCUUUAUUCAAGGUCUUCUCGCUGGAUUUUUGCAGGUGUUUUAGAUAUUCUGAGAAGAGAUGAUGGUGUCCCUAACAACACUAAUGACCGUAGUAGGAUUCUGCACAUAUCCAGUGAAGAGACGAUGGCAUCUCUAUCAACAUUGUUGUCUAUGGAAAUGAAAGAAAUAGAAUGUUUCUUUUUGAUUACCUAUAUAAUUUGUUAAAAGAAUUUUAAUGUUCAAUGACUAUUAAAUAUUAUUCAUGAUCAUA